rnacentral:rRNA from 1 species
AUUGAACGCUGGCGGCAGGCCUAACACAUGCAAGUCGAGCGAGCGGCGGACGGGUGAGUAAUGGAUGGGGACUGCCCGAGAGAGGUGGAUUACUCCUGGAAACGGUAGCUAAUACCGCCUACUAUCGGCAAACCCAUCUGGGAUUUGCUAGUGGGUGAGGUAAUUGCUCACCUAGGCGACGAUCCCUACCUGGUCUGAGAGGAUGAUCAGCCACACUGGGACUGAGACACGGCCCAGACUCUUCCGGAGGCAGCAGUGGGGAAUAUGGCAAAAUGGGCGAAAGCCUGAUGCAGCCAGGCCGCGUGUAUGAAGAAGGCCCUAGGGUUGUAAAGUACUUUCAGUGGGGAGGCGUUACCGACAGAAGAAGCACCGGCUAACUCCGUGCCAGCAGCCGCGGUAAUUC